rnacentral:rRNA from 1 species
GAUGAACGCUAGCGGGAGGCCUAACACAUGCAAGCCGAGCGGUAUUGUUUCUUCGGAAAUGAGAGAGCGGCGUACGGGUGCGGAACACGUGUGCAACCUGCCUUUAUCUGGGGGAUAGCCUUUCGAAAGGAAGAUUAAUACUCCAUAAUAUAUUGAACGGCAUCGUUUAAUAUUGAAAGCUCCGGCGGAUAGAGAUGGGCACGCGCAAGAUUAGCUAGUUGGUGAGGUAACGGCUCACCAAGGCGAUGAUCUUUAGGGGGCCUGAGAGGGUGAUCCCCCACACUGGUACUGAGACACGGACCAGACUCCUACUGGAGGCAGCAGUGAGGAAUAUUGGUCAAUGGGUGCAAGCCUGAACCAGCCAUCCCGCGUGAAGGACGACUGCCCUAUGGGUUGUAAACUUCUUUUGUAUAGGGAUAAACCUACCCUCGUGAGGGUAGCUGAAGGUACUAUACGAAUAAGCACCGGCUAACUCCGUGCCAGCCGCCGCCGUAAAAC